rnacentral:lncRNA from 1 species
GCAAGUGAUCGAUUGAUUAAUCAAGCAAGCAAUAUACGUACGACAAGCUAUGCUCUACUACUACCUCCGUAAGCAAAUAUAAGAUGAUUUAGAUCACUACUUUAGUGAUAUAAAACAUCUUAUAUUAUUUUACAGAGGGUUAGUCAAUGACAUAUAUCCCGGAGGUGUUGCAGUGGGAAAAAAAGAUGUUGCAGUGGAUGGGUCUUCUAGGUGGGGCACUGGAAGCCGGAGGGGACGUUCUUGCCGCAGUAGUUGACGAGCAGGCUGAGGUCGACGGGGACGUUGAGGUGGAUGCCCAGGAUGUUGGCCUUGAGCGCCGUGCACAGGCACACGGCUGCAUCCAGGUCCGCCAGCCCCUGGAGCAGCGAGCAGCACGUCUGCUUCGGCGUCGUCACCGGCCGCAGGUUGAUCAGCCCGCCCAGCACGUUCGCGCACGCCCCAAGCUUCAGCGCGUCAAUAGGGCAGCCACCGGUCCCUCCUCCUCCACCCUUGCCUCCACCGCCGCCGCCCCCUCCUCCUCCUCCCCCGCCCGGCGGCGGCGGGCUAGGCAGCUUGCAGCCGCAGUCGUCGGCCAAGGUGAAGAAGAGCAGGUUCAGGGCAAGCAGCGUGGCGAUCACCGCCGCUUUCGUCGCCAUAGGUUGCCUACCGAGCUGCUGUGCGUCUACUAGAGGGUUUAUUAGAGCUAGCUCGCUCUUGGCUGUGUGUGUCCAGUGCAAGGGACCUCGGCGUGCUACUUAUAGACCAAGAAGAAUGGAAGGGGUUGAAAUAGCUCCUAGCUUAGUUAGCCCAUCGAGGCCUCUUUUAGUUCAUAGGGUAGGAAAAUCAUAGGAAUAGGAAAGUUAUAGGAAAUGAGAUGACAUGUAUCUUACAUCCUAUGAGUAGGAAUAGGAAAGGAGAUGCUCUUUGAUUCACAUGAUAGCAUUUUUUCCAUUGAGUCUAGGCUAAUGUUUAUUUUCUUAUGAAAUAUGGAGGAUAGAAAGAAUUCCUUCACAAAAAUAGGAUUCCAUUCCUACAAAUCAAAUGGCUCUAAAGGAAUUUUUCAUAUAGAAAUCCUAUACUACGAAAUUCCUACAAGAUUCCUCUAAACCAAAGGAGGCCUGAUAUUUUACUCACUACACCUAUGUAAUGUAAUCGAUCAGUCUCUCCGUGUGAAGACGGCCAAGAGAUAGCUGAUCGCAACAGGUGCAUGAUGCAUGUGAGCUGGCUUUGGCAUUGGCCUUUGGGGAUAGGUGGAAGGAGACAAGGAGAUGUUUGGAAGGUUGCCGAUACAGGAUUUAAAGAAAAUUUGUAUAUGUCAAAUUAUAUAAAUGAAACAAUAUCUAGACUGUUGAUCCAAAAUCCGACUGACUCGCGGAGCGCAAAGUCGACAAUAACGUAGUUCGCUGACUUAUGCAUUCAAAUUUGGCGAAUCCCAAGCGACAUGGACAUACGUCUGCGGCUUUUGUCCAUUUCUCGUUGAGAUCACAAUACUAUUUCUUGGAGCAUCCUGUUUUAAGGUUUUGUCGCACCAAUGUACACAAUUUAUCAUCCAAAAAGAAUGUACUCCAUCCAUUCUAAAAUACUUGUCGUGCUUUUAGUUCAUAUUUGAACUAAAAGUCAAAAUAUUUUUCGGAGAUAUUAAUUUUCCUGAAGAGGCGGAUAAGAUAUUAGGUGGCUGUUUGAUACCGCCAGAAAGACAAAGAAAAAAAGGUUCUAAGGAAUCAAAAUAAAGGAAAAAUUGGGUCUAUGUUCAACGGAAAAAAAAUCUUCAAGAACUCAAAACAUGCCAAUGUGAUAAAAGAAUGGAAUCCUAGAAUUCCUGUUCAAUAACUUUUUGGGCCCUUAGGCGCUAUUGUAGCUAGUAGUAUAUCACAUUUUCUUCAUCGUACUAUUUACUAACACAUAAUAAAAUCCUGUUAAAAUUUUAGUUCAAAUUUAAACUAGAACCACGACAAGUAUUUUGGAACGGAGGACAUAGCUGUUUAAAGAUGGAAUUAACUCAUUGUAUUUUGCUCAAUUAUUUCCUCCCAAACUAAUUGACCAGGACCGGCCUGCCAGAAUCAUGUGGUGCCAGUGACUAAAAUGACACAUAGGCCAUCUAUUGAAUUUUUAUGUUACCAUGAUGUCGUAAAUCAUUUUUACCUGUGCAUUUUCUAUCUAAUAGAGAACUAGGAAAAUAAUCCCAUUAGUCUGUCUGAGGCGAGGUGCAACUCUGAAUUAGACAUGACGCGGUUGGCUAUGGCGUCACUGACAGAGCCUACGCAAAUGGUUGAUAGGCACGGGUGCAGGCGGAAGAUGCUCAACUAUCAUUGAGAAAGGCAAGGCGUAGAGGGAUGGCUGAGGUGGCAAGGAACAAUAGUUGGGGUAAAGCUCCGACGGGUAGCGAGGUUCGGGUCAACGGGACGGGGCGAUGGUCAAAGGAAGAAGAAGGUUACUCGGGCGGGAUUCACUAAAACUAAAAAGAAUGGGUUUGUCUAGGGCACAUCUAGAUGUGCUUUAGUUAUUGCACAUCUAAAUGACUCAAUCAAACUAGAAAGAAAAAGAAAAAGGACUAAUAAAAAUGCUUGCACGAAUCUUUAUGUGGACUCAAUGGCAUAGGACUUAGAUGUGCAAUACUUACGGCACAUCUAGAUGUGCUUCAGCAAAACUGAAAAAGAAUCUCAUGUGACCAGAAAUGCCUUUUGGUUCUCUGGCUACAAGGAGCUUUUUUUUUUUAAAUAAAAGAAGUAUCAAUGUUUCAAAACUCCUAAAAAAAAGAACACCGCAAUAUCAUAUGGAUGUAUACUCCAUGUGUGCAAGUUUUCAUAAACAUGCGAGCUACACAAAAAAAGUGGAAAUUGUUGGUUUUAUAGUGAUAUUUUCCCUACUUUUUUGUGUAGCUCUCAAAUCAGUGUAUUGUCUCAUGAAAUUUUACACACAUGUACUCCUAGUAUACAUCCAUAUGUCAAUGUUUGAAUUUUUCCAGGAUUUUUUGAACCUUUGAAACGUGAUUUUUUGAAUCUUUCAGAAAAAAGGCUCCAUGUAGCCCAGCAUCAGAACGCUGGACUCCUCAGUUGACUGAUGCAUAGGUGCUUCCUUUUAACCGUGGCGGAUUGUGUACUAUUAUGUCUGUUUCUAAAUAUAAAACUUUUGCGUCUUAUAUUUAAGGAUCGGAGGGUGUACUACUUGGUACUGUAAACUCUUAAUUUAUACGUUGCCGUAGAAAAACAUCUUAAUUUAUACUUGUCAUCAUGGUUCCUUACAUUCUUGACUCGAUUGAAAGAAAUUGACAGCAUUUACCAAAAGGACUAUUCCAUUCACGCGCCAAAUGUACAUGUCCUAGCAUUAGCAAAUUUAGCAUGGUCGAUUGACAACAUCAUCAAGACACGGUGCGUGCGUAGACAAUGUCUAGCAAAGAGACACAUUGCUGUUUGCCGUAGGUACGUACGUGGUGAAGAUGGAGGCAGGGUCGACACGCAGAUCUUUUCCCCGUCAUCUUUGACCGUGACACGUGCAUGCCUUGUAGAGCGCGGUCCACACAUGCUUGCAGGCAUAUGAACAAAGUGCUUGUUACCUAGCUCCUCUCUUUGGCUUGGCACUUGCAUCUGCUGGCCAAUCACCCUCAGCCAGGUGCUUAUGUUUAGCUAGCUAGCAUUUCUUUUUUGAAAUGGAGAGAUCUGAAAGAUGGUUAGGCUCUGGCUAGGAGCCUAUACGUUACGUGUCCUUUUUUUGUGCAUCACGCCGACCGGAAGAUUGAUAUGUGUAGCUAGCCUGCUUCUGCUUGUAGCACAUUUCAGAUCACAGUACAGUGUACAUAAUUGAAGCACUAAACAUAUAUACAUAUAUGUGCAUGCAAGUGGGUGAUUGAUACGUGUCGAUCCACGCACCUCGGUCCUAAUGAGACGCGACACAGAUCUCAUCGUGCGCAUGGAGUAUGCACGGAGAGAAUAAUUAACCAGAUGCUAACACGAUAGCUGAGGCAAAAUCUAGAGUGACAAAAAUAAAAUUUUCCCAAAGAAUUAACCAGUGCACAGAAUGAAUGAAUUCACAGACGCUAACAAACUGCAUGUACCACCCUAAGAAAUCAAAGGCGCACAGAAUUUUAAUCGAAUCAAUUAGCAAAUGCUAAAGAUCACACAGAGACAGUUGACAUAUGAUAUUAAUUACUUUACUACAAUUGUGGAGGAGCAACCUCUUUUUGAAGGAAAUAUAAUAGCAGCCAGCGGUACACGCAUGAGAUCAUAUGUGGCUGAGAACUGGAUCCAUGGUCCAUAGAGUACCGUAACCAGUUCGAUGACAAGCAGUACGUGGUACAAACGGUACUACCACACACACAGAGAGAAAUAUGCAAGUUUAGCAACUAGCAAGAGCGAUGAUAAAUUAUGAAGCAAAUAACGUAUACGACUAGCUAUAGAGCACUAGUCAAUGGAUGGAUUGUAGAUCAUGCGUGCGUGCAUGCACGUACGUACGUAUAGUGGAUGCCUGCAUGCAGUGGACGAUGGAUCUCUCGGGUCUUCUCUUCUAGCGGGGGCACUGGAAGCCGGAGGGGACGUUCUUGCCGCAGUAGUUGACGAGGAGGCUGAGGUCGAUGGGCACGUUGAGGUUGAUGCCCAGGAUGUUGGCCUUGAGCGCCGUGCAGAGGCACACCGCCGCCUCCAGGUCGGCGAGCCCCUGGAUUAGCGAG